rnacentral:rRNA from 1 species
UACGUAGGGUGCAAGCGUUAAUCGGAAUUACUGGGCGUAAAGCGUGCGCAGGCGGUUCUAUAAGACAGAUGUGAAAUCCCCGGGCUCAACCUGGGAACUGCAUUUGUGACUGUAGAGCUGGAGUACGUAGGAGGGAGUGGAAUUCCGCGUGUAGCAGUGAAAUGCGUAGAUAUGCGGAGGAACACCGAUGGCGAAGGCAAUCCCCUGGACCUGUACUGACGCUCAUGCACGAAAGCGUGGGGAGCAAACAGG